rnacentral:lncRNA from 1 species
UAUAUAAAGAUACAAUGCUUCUAGACGCCCAAACCGAGUCAGGAGUAAGAAAUCUGUGUCUUCUCUUAUGGAAGGGAAAGCUAUUCUUCUUUGCCUUAUGGUGCUUGUGCACCUAGGAAAUUCCAUUCAUAUUGGUAAGAAAUCGAUCUCCCCAUCCCUACAUAUGUUUCCGUUCUCCUAUCAACCAAAGUAGGAUAAUGUUGUCACUUAAACAUCAUGCAUAUUUUCUUUUCCCAAUUUGGACUUCUUUUUAUGGUGUGUGUUUUUCUUUACAGAUAAAUGCAAGGAUUUAGUUCACCCGCAAACAAAAACAUGCAAGGAUCGACUUGCUAGUAUCGCCCGUGAGUGCAUUCUGUCAAAAUGCCAGACGACCUGCAAAAAUUUGUUUGGACCGCAACUCAUAGCCUCAUGGUGUCUCAACGCCGUCCCAUACUAUUGGCAUUGUUGGUGCCGUGUCUGUUCGUAGAGUUGCACUGAACAAUCAUGUCGAAAAAUGGACAAAUGAUGUGAUCCAAUAAUAAAAUCUUCUUGUGACAUGCAUCUAAAAAUACAUAACGAUUGCCAAAUUUAGGUGUUCUAUUCGAUUUUCUCAUGUGCGAUAUUUGAUAUGGUAAUUUUAG